rnacentral:rRNA from 2 species
GACGAACGCUGGCGGCGUGCCUAAUACAUGCAAGUCGAACGAAACUUUCUUACACCGAAUGCUUGCAUUCACCGUAAGAAGUUGAGUGGCGGACGGGUGAGUAACACGUGGGUAACCUGCCUAAAAGAAGGGGAUAACACUUGGAAACAGGUGCUAAUACCGUAUAUCUCUAAGGAUCGCAUGAUCCUUAGAUGAAAGAUGGUUCUGCUAUCGCUUUUAGAUGGACCCGCGGCGUAUUAACUAGUUGGUGGGGUAACGGCCUACCAAGGUGAUGAUACGUAGCCGAACUGAGAGGUUGAUCGGCCACAUUGGGACUGAGACACGGCCCAAACUCCUACGGGAGGCAGCAGUAGGGAAUCUUCCACAAUGGACGCAAGUCUGAUGGAGCAACGCCGCGUGAGUGAAGAAGGUCUUCGGAUCGUAAAACUCUGUUGUUAGAGAAGAACACGAGUGAGAGUAACUGUUCAUUCGAUGACGGUAUCUAACCAGCAAGUCACGGCUAACUACGUGCC